rnacentral:rRNA from 1 species
CCUACGGGGGGCAGCAGUGGGGAAUAUUGGGCAAUGGGGGGAACCCUGAUCCAGCCAUGCCGCGUGUGUGAAGAAGGCCCUCGGGUUGUAAAGCACUUUCAGUGAGGAAGAACGCCUGGUGGUUAAUACCCAUCAGGAAAGACAUCACUCACAGAAGAAGCACCGGCUAACUCCGUGCCAGCAGCCGCGGUAAUACGGAGGGUGCGAGCGUUAAUCGGAAUUACUGGGCGUAAAGCGCGCGUAGGUGGCUUGAUAAGCCGGUUGUGAAAGCCCCGGGCUCAACCUGGGAACGGCAUCCGGAACUGUCAAGCUAGAGUGCAGGAGAGGAAGGUAGAAUUCCCGGUGUAGCGGUGAAAUGCGUAGAGAUCGGGAGGAAUACCAGUGGCGAAGGCGGCCUUCUGGACUGACACUGACACUGAGGUGCGAAAGCGUGGGUAGCAAACAGGAUUAGAUACCCGAGUAGUC